UGAGGGGAUAAAUAUGCUGUGAAGUAGUAUCAAAAAUGCCUAACUCCUUACACAGAUGUCAACAUGUGAUAGAGGACGGAAGAUAUUUCACAUAUAAGAUGAACAAUGGCGAACCUAAGAUUUAGCCUCGUGGAACUCCAUAUAUGAUUUCUGCCCAAUCAGAGUAAUGUCCCAGGUCAACAUCAGAUGUAUUAGUGCAUUAACAAGCUAACUGCGACGAGGUUGCUGGUGACCACAGCAGAGCCUCAUGCCUGACACUGUGACCUGACCUGGCGGUGAAACAUCCAUCACCAUGCUUG